AAAAAAAUAAAAACAACUUACUGCCUUGACCAUAUCCUUCUAAUCAGUCAAACCCAAGGCUCUUUCUUAUCUCCAUAACCAACUCGUGGACCUUUCCAGGUUCUGCAAGAGACUUGGCUACACUAUCUUUUUGCAGGCACCUUUUAGCCCAUGCAAUGAUCUUGGGACAUUGAGCUUCUAUGCUGAAGUUUCCGAUGGUCUCAUAAGUAGAAAACCCGCAACAGAAAGGAAGAAAGGCAAUAUCCACAUACCCCAGAGUCUCACCCCCAAAAUAAGGCUUCUCUCCUAGUUCUCCCUCCAAUAACUCAAGGCAUUCAAAGAAACCCUUCUUUGCCGCCUCCAUUUCUUCUCCUUUUGUUGUCCAUAUCUUCCUAGAAAGAUCAUGUAUCUGAAGAUUCACAGCACUUCAUCACAAAAAUAAUAUAGCAGAACACAAAACCUAAGACGUGCACAAACAAUAUUGUCUUUAAGGAUAUUUACUUUCCUUAAAGAUAUUUACCCACAUAAAAUUAUUAUCCACCAGGAUUCAAUAGGUUCUUCCUCGAAAGGAGGGAUGCAAAAACAACAAGGCAAAUACCAACAAGAAAAUCCAGUAAGUUUAAGUGUUUUAAGUUAAGUGGUAUUUUGUGUUUUUCUAAUAUGAGAUAUAAAAAUAUUUUUACUUUAAAUACUUCAAUUUAAAAAAAAAAACCAAAUAUUUCUGAUAAAAAAUAAAAACAUUUUGAAAUAAUCUCUGAAAACGUUUUCCAAUAUAAAAUAAUUUUUUUUUAAAAUAACCUCUAAGAAUUCAUUUUUACAGCACAUAAUUGAUAUUACAGUAACAUAUAUCGCAGUAGCAAAGGAAUAUAUAUUUGUCCUCACGCAAGCAUAGAUACAUGUAUCGAAGGGGGACCAAAGAUUUAGCAAGAUUAAAGGUAUAUAUAUCCAUACCUUUUUAUCAAUAAAAUCAGCCCAGAACAUGGACUGAGCUCUUUCAUAAGGAUCAGAAGGUAGCAAAGGAGUCUUGCCCCUCCACACAUCAUCAAUAUACUGAACAAUAAUAAGGGACUCGCAAACUGGUUUUCCUCUGUGGACGAGAACUGGAAUCUUCUUGUAGACUGGGUUCAUCUGAAGAAGCAAUGCACUCUUGUCCCUCAAGUCCUGUUCACUGUACUCAUACUUGACUCCCUUCUCUGCCAAUGCUAUUUUAACUCUCAUGCCAAAAGGGCUUGCCCAAAAAUCCAGCAGUGUCACCUCAUCAGCCAUUGUUGUUGUGAAAAAGAGUAAAACUGAAUCACAGAUAGUUUUUUUCUCGCCUUUCAGAAUGGCUGUGCUCUUGAUAGUGGAAAGUAGAAAUCUUUAUAGCAUAUCUGUCUUUGCAGAAAGAUGUAGUGGCGGAAAUAAAUAAGUGGAAAAUGUGCUGUGCUAGUGCCCAGUGGGCAAUUGGAUACCAUAACGCAUUUUCAUGUUUGUUCCUUUCUAUGUCUUCAACUACAUCACACCAACCGGUCAAUGAUUCCUGAAAUCUUAGAGUUAAUUACCCUGACAAAAUGAGAUAAUUAUUCAUAAAUUUGAGAAAUUAUCACCGGAAUUCAUAUUAUAUACGAUCAAUAUAUAUUUUAUUAGGGGGAUUGUGUAGGGAAAAUAAAAUAUAUGAUAACGAGAGUAUUUCUUAAGUGAUAUUUUUUUUUUAUUAUUAUUCAAAGUAAGCAAUAAUCUUGCCAACAAACUUUUUCAGUUUUUGCCUGAAGAAAACUAAGGAUAGCUUUGGUAAUUUCAAGUCAAUUUAUAUACGAUUUGUUUUUGCCAUGGGUCCAUAUAUCAGUGUUAUGGGAAGCUCGAAUGUGUGGAAACCACCAAAUCUGGGCUCGAAACUUUUUAAAAAAAAACUUGCAAUCAUUUUCCUGUGAACAUCAAAUUAUUGUCAUUUUCUUGAGAAUUCACUAUUCACGUGUCAACAACCCUAUUCUUGUCUGACCUGAUAACUAGGAUUUUGCUGUGUUCAAGGUAUAAUGGCCAAGGAGUAGCUAUUUUGAGAUUUCUUUCAUGCUUAAAUUUAGAAAAUUAAGGAUGUAGUGGGAUUUAGGAGGAGGGACAUAGCACGUAUCUCCAUGUUGUGCAGGACCCAUCAAGCCCUUUCUGAUUUUGGUUGGGGUAUGCCUAUGAAGGUGGAGAUCGACUCCUUGCAUUAAUAAGACAGGAUCAAUCUCUAUGCAAUAUGGUUAUUGGUUUCAUCAAUGAUUAUCCGAAAAAAAUCUCUAUGCAGGAGAAGGCAGAUGGAAGGGGUGGAAUUGAGAUUGGCUUUGUUUUAUUAAAGCAGAAAAUGGAGAUCUUCAAUUCUCUAUUUGUCGAUGGUAGUACUCUUGUCUUGAACCAAGACCAGAUUGCUAGUGGAGAACAGCAGUAAGAGAACAGCAAAUGUAGGCAAAACAAAUAUUUAACAGUAGCUAUCAGAUUUCAAGCCCGUUCGGCUACGCAGUACUUCUGAGAUGCAAAUUGUGCUUAAUUCGCAUGAAAAAGCUUUAAAACUAAAAUAUUUGUUUUUUUUCACGCGAACCACAAUUUACACUGUGUAACAAAGCGAAGCCUAUGAUAAUCGUGUAGCAGUAUGAUAAUUGUGUCAGCUUAUUUUACCAUUUACGAAAGCCAAGAUGAUAGAUAUUCAUGACUUAAUUAUGAGCAACAGAUGUUAUCUACUAAUCUCUAAAUUAUAUUAUUUUCGAAAUAUUUAUUAUUUUGUGUUAAUUCAGUUUCGUAAUAAUUAAUAUUCACUUGAAUAGGAUAACAUUUGAGACUAAAUUGAAGACUUAUCAAAGAAUUGGGGACCAAAUAAAAACAAUUAUUUAAAAUCUAGGGAAAAAAUAUAUAUUUGACGGGUGUAAUGCUCGUGACAACGUAUACGGAAGUUGUGGCGUGAUGGUGGCGCAUGCAGCCUUCUUUGAGCUUUGAUGAUGCCAGAAUUUUCUUGUCAGGUCUUCCUUUCAGGAUAACACAUGUCACCCUUCAAGUCCUGACAUGGCUAGUAACCUUUCUUUCUUCCUCUCUUAUCUCCUUCCCUUCCUUUCCCUUCCCUGGUUUUCAAGCAACAACCGAAAUUAAAAAAAAAAAAAAAAACUUUGUGGAUUGUGGUAGGAAAAACCCGUGAGUUGUAGUCUAUUUUGUAUUGUAAUGUGAUUGAACUACUUAAAACUUGGUAUAAGAAAAUUAACUUGAGGAUAUAUAUAUAUAUUGAAUGGAGAGGAUUUGUGUGCGUUGAGUGCCCAAUCUAAUAAAUUCUCAAACCUUCCCUUUUCCGAGCAAAAAUUAGCACAUCAAAUACAAAUACGAACUAGUUCAGAUCCAAGGAAAUGGCAGCUAGUUCAGAUUCAAGGAAAAGCGUUCAAAGCAUACAUCACAAACAAAUAAGCUAGCUAAAUAUGAUUGAAGGUCUGGACAUAUCCAGUUCCUAGUCAACCAAGGAGCACAGCCAAGUGCCACAGAAUUACGUACAGAAAGUUCAAUAUUAUUCGUAAAAGAAACAACUCCAACAUGGAGACCAACCACAUGAACUACUUACUGCCUUGACCAUAUCCUUCUAAUCAAUCAAACCCAAGGCUCUUCCUCAUCUCCAAAACCAACUCGUGGAGCUUUCCAGGUUCUGCAAGAGACUUGGCUACACUCUCUUUUUGCAGGCACCUUUUAGCCCAUGCAAUGAUCUUGGGACAUUGAGCUUCUAUGCUGAAGUUUCCGAUGGUCUCAUAA
rnacentral:lncRNA from 1 species